rnacentral:rRNA from 1 species
GGGCCCGCACAAGCAGCGGAGCAUGUGGUUUAAUUCGACGCGACGCGAAGAACCUUACCUGGGCUUGACAUGUGAGUGACCGGUGUGGAAACACGCCUUCCCUUCGGGGCACUUUCACAGGUGGUGCAUGGCUGUCGUCAGCUCGUGUCGUGAGAUGUUGGGUUAAGUCCCGCAACGAGCGCAACCCCCGUCGCAUGUUGCCAGCAUUUAGUUGGGGACUCAUGCGAGACUGCCGGUGACAAACCGGAGGAAGGUGGGGAUGACGUCAAGUCCUCAUGCCCCUUAUGUCCAGGGCUACACACGUGCUACAUUGGCGCAUACAGAGGGUUGCGAUACCGCGAGGUGGAGCGAAUCCCUUAAAGUGCGUCUCGGUUCGGAUUGCAGGCUGAAAUUCGCCUGCAUGAAGGCGGAGUUGCUAGUAAUCGCGGAUCAGCACUGCCGCGGUGAAUACGUUCCCGGGCCUU